ensembl:lncRNA
CCCCUCUGACGAAUUCCACCUCAGUAUGUGUAGGUCAUUUGUUGGUACACUGUGUCCUCAACUUGUCCAUAGUACUAGUUAAGCACUGCAUGUUUAUAAACCUAGUAUUUGCUUUAGUUUGUCUUUUCUUGUGUUUUUAUUAGCUUAGUGUGCUUAGAAACACCGUCAUGUCCUGGCAGGCUCAGUGUUGAUCCACAGAGCCUCGGGUUGCUGUGAGAUUAAACCACUUUUCAGCCACCUUAUCUCUCAACGACGAGAGAGAGAAAAAACCCCAAGCUCAGCAAGCAACAUUCCCUAGAGGUAAUCUAUAAUCCUGCAAAAGAAUUUAGCCUUGAUAAAAGAGCAAAGUGAGAAGAAAAAAAAAGACAAAGAAAUAUAAAGUUAAAGAAUUAUGGCUGUAUAAUUAAAAUGUGUAUGUACUGUAUAAAGCUAGGACAUUUUCUGAGGUCACGUAGCACUGCUAGCAGCUGACAAAGUGGAACUGAUUACUGUCCAAUACUGGAGCUUGAGGCAAAGACAUUCACUCAGACAAGACAUAAUGCCAAUAUAAGACAUGUCUAAAAAGUUUCGGAGUCAACUAAAACCUAAAAACAGUCCUAAAGUAAGAAUAAUGAAUUAUGAAGUAAACAAUGUUUAAUCCAAAUUUGAUAAAUGAAUGUUGGGGGUAAAAACUGACCACAAGUUAACAUUUGUACCUAAAUGUAGUCAAUCAAACGUAACACAUUAACGUCUCAAGCCAUACAAAAGAUUUAGUGUUAGAGUAAGUGGUGGGGUAAGCAUUCGUAACUUUUCUUCUGACUUCAUUUGUAAGAGAUCAAACUAAACCCAACCACAUUGCUCUUAAUCGUUCAAAUUUAUAUGAAUAUGACUGUAUUUUGAGGUGAGUGUGUGACGAUUUAGAAUGCAGGAAUAAGUACUGUAAAGGUGAAAAUUUCAGGUAUCAAACAUGUUUUGGUUGAUGGACUACAACUGCCUUUAGAGGAACAUUGCUCAUACUGAAUUUCUGACUAAAUUAUCACUUUAAGGCUGCACUCACAGAAUAUAUCUAAAUAACAUGCUGUUGCUGAAUGCCUUUCUUCCACCCUCAUUUCAUAUUUUUCUGCAGUACUGUUAUUCUUUCAAUCACAGGUUAACCGGUUCGGGCAGUCCCAUCUCUGUGCCUAUCUGUCAGAUAUGAUUUGCACGGCUGAUUUUCAGCUCAGGGUGUCCUGCUGUUUUCUUUGUACAGUUUGGCGUGUUGCACAGGGAGGCAAGUUCUUGCAGCCCUGCAGGUCUCGUCUUGUUCCUGUUCGUCCACUCCUGCCCUGUUCUCACAAAAACCUGGCCAGCGAUGUGUAUACAGUAUGUGCUCAGGGGCACAGCUCAAUAAGACAGUAUUUCAGGUGAGAAUAACGAAAAGUCUUUAGCGCUAAAAUGUGCCAACUUCACAAAUGGGUGUCUUGUUUUUAUUGGGAAAUAUUGCCAAAUGUUUAUUAUCUAUAAUACGUGCAGGGAUGACAUUUGGUAAUGAACACACAAACACACACACACACACACACACACACACACACACACACACACACACACACACACACGCACACACACACAUACACAGGUUUCUUUAGCUGAGCUUUCAUGAGCAGUUCAGCUGUCUAGCAAUGCAUGAUACACACAUUUAAUGUUAAAAGGCCAUUGCAUAAACCGUUGCAAUAUUACAUACAUAUAUGAGCUCCAGGGUAUCACGUAGAUCUACUCUUUUUUUUGCAUAGCUGACACUAUAGUUUGUCUAGCACAGUGUGAGCUAAUAAUCAUCUACCCUUCAUCAGUGACAGGUUUUGUCCAUGGCAACCUCACUGGUUGGAGAUUUCUCAACCUAUCUGUGAUACUGAGAUGUGUAUAUAUAAAUAAGCAAACUGGUUCUUACCCUUGUUCCCGUCUCUGCAAAUGACGUCUGAAGAGAACAACAGCUGUGGGUGGGAAAGAAUAGCAAUUAAACUUCACUACAAGGUCAUGAUUGCACAUUUAAAAAGUAAUCUGAAAACUCCAGACUAAUGUUUUUUUUUUUUUUUUUUUUUUUUUUUUUUUUCUGUUAGUAAUCAAAUGCUAAGACACUGGAAUUAUAAAGUUCUGAUACAAAUUAUUUGGCAAAAAUGUCAAAAAUGAUUUUAAUUGCAAGAUAUAUACAUGAUUUUAAUAAAAUCCUACACUACACUGUCAUGACACUGUAAUGCCUGUAAAAUUAUUAAUAUUUUCUCCAGCCAUAACAUUGAGUGGGGGUUAUUUUGAUGUCAUAUCAGCAGUUAUAUAUUUACAGAGCUAUAUAGUCAGUUAUCAUGAUGUUCUAAUGUAAAUAAGCCUGGAAAGUGUUAUAACAGAACCUUAUGUCAACAUAAAUCUACGUCAACUGACAUGGGUGCUAUGUUGACUUGACAUCAAAAUUGACAAAAGAAGCCUUCAGGAUAGCAGAUGCCU